GCACUGCCGAGGAGUCCCACAACAGGACGAAACGGCAGUUUAGUGC
rfam:Schistosoma curassoni strain Dakar, Senegal genome assembly, scaffold: SCTD_scaffold0002197